UUUUUUUUUCUUUUUUUUUUUUUCUAGAAUUCUAUCGAUCUGAAGGUAGGGGAGAACAUAUAUGGAAUGAUUUCCCCAUGUUCGUCAAAGUCAUAUUCAGGAUUGUAAUCUCUACAAAUGCAGUGGGUAAAGUGAUGGGGAAAGGUGGAGCAAACUUGGCAUAUAUUUGGAAGUAAUGGCCCACCAUGAAAUGAUCCCCUGCAAUGUCCGUACCAUGAAAUUAUAACACGCUAGUGGGUAACCCCAAGAAGGAGAGGGGCCAAGAGAUAUCAAGAGGCAGGGUUCAUAAUAACAGAGAAAGAAAGUAGAGGGGGAGACAGAACUUUUAAAGCAACGCACGGAGAGAACUGAUAAGUGCGGACGGCAUUCGUCGAGACCGAGAAAGUUACGAUUGACUGCACAUGCUAAGGACCUGUUUAGACUGAAUUACAAAUGUAAUGUGGUGUAGAUGUACAAUGCCAAUACCUGUCUCCUGAAAAAUAAGUUAUUUGAGGGGCAUUUUUUGUAUUUACAUAGGCACGGUAAAAACCAUAAUAUGAUAUUUUUACAUUAUUAAAAUGUCAAAUUAAUAAAGAAAAUACACUUACUAAAAUAUUAA